CUCGAGCGCCGAGAAGACUGUGGCACCCGCCACUAGGUAGAGGCCGAUGAGCGCCGCCAGCAGCACGAAGCGGCCGGUGUCCUCGUUGAGAAUAUGGAUGUGAUGUCCAGGACUCUGGCUGCCAUCUUGAGUCAUGAGGUGACUUUCAGGAUGGAAGCCACAGUGUGAAGGAGCAAGUUCCUGCUUGAAUGAGUCUGAGACUGGAAUUGAGACCUUCAAAUAUGAUCCUACUCCCACCCCAAACACACAGCCCCUGACACAGAGCUGGGCAUGUGUGGGCUUUCACUAGUGCUGGCUGAACUGCUUGCACUGUUAGGGCAUCUGGCCUCCUUCAGCAGAGAGGGCCCAGCAAGCAGGACUCGGACUGCCUCCACUACCCCAGCUGAAUUCCAGCCCUGCUCACCCUCUCCAGGUCAGAAUAUCAGCACUGGAACUUGAGUACUUCCCUCAUGCCUGAGGGACUUGGGCUUGUACCCUCUCCGAGGUUGGACCACCCUGAAUUGGGGUUUUCCAGCUGGAAGAAUCCCUCCACAGAAUCUGGAAUUUUCCUUCUGUUUUCUCCUUUGCUGUCAACGUCUCAGCAAAAAGCAUCACCUAUAAAUGUGAAGGCUGAUUAAUUCUAAGUCUGGGGCUAGUGUUGAUACAGACACAGCUGGCGAGAUACAGAAUUAAACAAACACAAGGUCCUUUGCUGAUUCAGCAGCUGGUGGAACGGGAGGACAAGCCCUUGGGCAUUCUAGAAAGCCCUGCCUGCCCAGUGGUAAUUUUCUCUUUUGGGUUUCUUACCAGGAAAGCAAUUCCCAGACACUCUUCCCAGCCUAUCUGUUUCACUAAGCCAGAUAACAUAUUUUGUUGUAAGAGAUUUGAUCAUUGCUUUCUGCUCUCAAGGGACACCCCUCCAUUGAGCCCAAUUUUCUGUCCCUGCCUUUACCAUUAGAGAGUCUUUUUGGUGGAGCAAAGCACUACUCUCCUCUGUGCUUUUUUAGUGUCUGGUAGAGGCAGUACCAAGGGGUAGCUGGGAGGUGGUUAGCUACCAUCUCUAUUUCAAAAUAAAAACACUGCACUUAUAAUGCUAGCACUGUUUCCACCCAAAUCUGCCAUUGUCAUCCUUCCAACCAAUUGCUCUCUCUAAAUCCUUUCUAGAUAGACAUUCCAUAGCCACGCCACCCCUCUGUAUGAAUGAGUUGAUCAGGCCUUUCUCUUUGCGGGAGGCAUAGCUUGCAGGCCCAUUUUUGUUGCUGGGUCUCUGCAUCUCAAAAUCUGGGCAUGAAUAUGAGGUAAAUGUCUCAUCUGUGUCCUACAUACCUCUGUGCACAUGCAACACACAGACUGUUCAUUCCUUCCAGGCAGCUUUGCUUCACUGUGGUCAAAACUGAGCGUAAGGGAUGGUGUAUGUGUACAGAUCCCAACUGCAGCGUUGGCUUGAGGUC